rnacentral:rRNA from 1 species
GGGUCCGGACACACUGAGGAUUGACAGGCAAUAUUAAUACGUUUUGCUUCGGUAAACGCGUAUUAUGUUAAAUAUGCUAGUCCUUUCAUGAUUAUGUGAUAGGUGGUGCAUGGCCGUUCUUAGUUCGUGGAGUGAUCUGUCUGCUUAAUUGCGUUUCACUAAGGGCCUAUAAAUUUACGUGUGUUGCAUCGCACUUUGACCCCUUUCUUUAAUUAGAGAGCGCGUGUCUUAGUUUUCGCUUUGCUCAUACAAUUAGGUCCUGAAAGCAACGAACGUGACCGCAACCUCUUGUUGCCUUUAUACCAAACAUGUUUUGCGUCAAUUUUUACGAAUUGCGCGCAUUUCAUGAAAAAAGGCUUUUUAAACUAGAGGGACCGCUGUUACUUUCUUAAACCAGAGGAAGGUUGCGGCAAUAACAGGUCUGUGAUGCCCUUAGAUGUUCCGGGCUGCACACGUGCUACAAUGAUUAUUGCAGUGAGCAUCUCAUUUUUACACACCGCAUGCGCGAGUCCAUUUAUUCACCUUCGGGUGUUUUAAAUGUGUAUCUCUGCGCGCGG